UUCUCUAAAACAUGAUUGACCAAACAAUUUUUAAAGAUGUGAAUGAGAUCCAUGCAAGGUUAUUGGACCACAGACCAGUGUUACAAGGGCAUAUCAACCACUUUGUACAAGAAUUUGAGG